rnacentral:rRNA from 1 species
GACGAACGCUGGCGGCGUGCUUAACACAUGCAAGUCGAACGGAAAGGCCCUGCUUUUGUGGGGUGCUCGAGUGGCGAACGGGUGAGUAACACGUGAGUAACCUGCCCUUGACUUUGGGAUAACUUCAUGAAACUGGGGCUAAUACCGGAUAGGAGCUCCUGCUGCAGGGUGGGGGUUGGAAAGUUUCGGCGGUUGGGGAUGGACUCGCGGCUUAUCAGCUUGUUGGUGGGGUAGUGGCUUACCAAGGCUUUGACGGGUAGCCGGCCUGAGAGGGUGACCGGCCACAUUGGGACUGAGCUACGGCCCAGACUCCUACGGGAGGCAGCAGUGGGGAAUAUUGCACAAUGGGCGGAAGCCUGAUGCAGCAACGCAGCGUGCGGGAUGACGGCCUUCGGGUUGUAAACCGCUUUCGCCUGUGACGAAGCGUGAGUGACGGUAAUGGGUAAAGAAGCACCGGCUAACUACGUG